GUCCACGCCCUAAACGAUGUCUACUAGUUGUCGGGGAUUCGUUUCCUUGGUAACGCAGCUAACGCGUGAAGUAGACCGCCUGGGGAGUACGGCCGCAAGGUUAAAAACUCAAAAGGAAUUGACGGGGACCCGCACAAGCGGUGGAUGAUGUGGAUUAAUUCGAUGCAAACGCGAAAAACCUUACCUACGCUUGACAUGCCAGAAACCCCGCAGAGAUGUGGGGGUGCCCGAAAGGGAAUCUGGACACAGGUGCUGCAUGGCUGUCGU
rnacentral:rRNA from 1 species